rnacentral:rRNA from 1 species
GAGUUUGAUCCUGGCUCAGGAUGAACGCUAGCGGCAGGCUUAACACAUGCAAGUCGAGGGGUAACAGGGAUUAGUUUACUAAUUUGCUGACGACCGGCGCACGGGUGAGUAACGCGUAUACAAUUUGCCUUUUACAGGAGGAUAGCCCAGAGAAAUUUGGAUUAAUACUCCAUGGUAUUAUAAGAUCGCAUGGUUUUAUAAUUAAAGUUUCGGCGGUAGAAGAUGAGUAUGCGUCCUAUUAGCUAGUUGGUAAGGUAACGGCUUACCAAGGCGACGAUAGGUAGGGGUCCUGAGAGGGAGAUCCCCCACACUGGUACUGAGACACGGACCAGACUCCUACGGGAGGCAGCAGUGAGGAAUAUUGGUCAAUGGAGGCAACUCUGAACCAGCCAUGCCGCGUGCAGGAAGACUGCCCUAUGGGUUGUAAACUGCUUUUAUACAGGAAGAAACUUAUCCACGUGUGGAUAACUGACGGUACUGUACGAAUAAGGACCGGCUAACUCCGUGCCAGCAGCCGCGGUAAUACGGAGGGUCCAAGCGUUAUCCGGAAUCAUUGGGUUUAAAGGGUCCGUAGGCGGGCGAUUAAGUCAGAGGUGAAAUCCCACAGCUCAACUGUGGAACUGCCUUUGAUACUGGUUGUCUUGAGUUACAGUGAAGUAGAUAGAAUAUGUAGUGUAGCGGUGAAAUGCAUAGAUAUUACAUAGAAUACCGAUUGCGAAGGCAGUCUACUAACUGUUAACUGACGCUAAGGGACGAAAGCGUGGGGAGCGAACAGGAUUAGAUACCCCUGGUAGUCCACGCCGUAAACGAUGGUCACUAGUUGUUGGGGCGUUAUGCCUCAGUGAUUAAGUCGAAAGUUGAUAA